CCCUGGUUAGCUCACUUGGUAGAGCGCUCCACCUGUAAUGGAGAGGUCCCGGGUUCGAUACCCGGACCAGGAG
rnacentral:tRNA from 2 species